rnacentral:lncRNA from 1 species
UAUAUCAGACUCCACUUCUCUCUCUUUAAUCCCUUUCUCUCAUUCUCACUGCCUCCUCUCUCUCUAAACCCUUGAUUAAACACCAAAUUGAUAAACCUCGCGGUGUCCAUCUCUCACUCUCACGGUGAAUAUCUCUGAUGUUGUUAUCGCUCCUUUUGGAAUAGGAAUAGGCAAUUUUUUUAAAUGUUAUGGUCUGCUAUCUUAUUGACUUGUAAGUGGUUUGAACAACAUUUUUACUCUGUUUUUGUGUACUUUUGCAGUGUAAACUGAGAAGCGAAGAUGAGAUAGACUAUUUUCUUAAUUUUGUAGAUUCUUGGGGUGUAGUGAGUUAAUUUUGGGGUUUUGGUGUUCUUCCUUUUUUGUAGGUUUUGGUCUGCAAACUACAAUUAAAACUAUAAGGAUUAUAGGAUACAAUACUUGGAUUUUACUAUUCUGUGAAGCUAUUGUCACUAACUUCUGUUUGUCCUAUGACUGAGAAACAAGGCAAAGGCCAAGCAAAUUUCUCUCUCGAAUCUCUCUAUUCAGGUUUGGGUUUUGAUUUUAUGUUUACGAUACAUUUGUAAUUUAGCUCUAUUUCAGGUGUAUACACAUGCUCUAUUCGUAUAACUUUAGCAUUAUGGAUUCAUAGUAACAUUACGUUUGAAUGAGUUGCUUUGUUUCAGAACGUUUGAUACAAACUCUAUUUCACAUAUUUAGGCAAAUUGUGAUAGAAUUGAUGCGUUAAAAAUAAAUAUGUAAUUUUUAAAUAAUUUUUAUAUGAGGAGAAUUCAAGCUUACCAGCUUAGGUAUGAUUCAAUUUCAAUUCAUUUUCAGGUGGAUACCUUCAAUUUCAAUUCAUUUUCAGGUGGAUACCCGUGCUCUAUUCGUAUCUUGGAUGGCGUGAAUCUUCUGUGUGAAAAGUUUAGCAUUAUCGAUUGAUAGUAACAUUAUAUAUAGUUUAAAGUAGAUGUUUUUAAUCGAAUCUAUAAUUUAAAUUAGUUGCUCUGUCACAAAAUGUUUUAUACGAUUCUAUUAAAUAUAUUAAGGCAGAUCGGUAUCUCGAGGUUUAUUUCGCAGUCUUUGUUCUAAUGAAAUUUGAAGUUACUGUAUUUGAUCUAAUAUUAAAAGUUUAGCUUACUGAUAGAGUUGAAUUUGUAUCCUUUGGGGUUUAUAAUGUUUGUUCUUGCUGGCUUGAAUUGUUAUUGUGCAAGUUUUUAUGCACCUUGCUCUCAUCCUUAGCUCUUCUUUCUGAAUCUUUGCCUGUUGAGUCUGCUGAGGAACAAUCGUCUUUUCUAGCUAGAAUUGGUGUCCUGUUCCCGGUAUUCUUCUUAGCACAAAUUUCUUUGCACUUGAGCAAAGCCUAGUUAAGACAUAAGCUAAGAAGGUACAAUAAUAUACCUUUUUCAUACAAAUUGCUACUUAAUUUCAUGAAUCAGUUAUAGCUAUGAUUACUUUUGCUUCUUCCUGAAUUUAUAUUAAAUUUAAAAAAAAUAAGUCAUUCAAAAUUACACCCAAUAAGAGUUGUGGUAGAACAAUAAAUGUUGAAAAAAAUUCAUGAAUAACUAUUGAAACUAAGUGAAGCAUUGAAAAGUAAUAGUACUUUAAGCCAUGAAAUGUAUGAAAACUACACUGUUAGUGUUUUUUUCUUUUGUUAUUGUUUUGGUUCUCAUGUUUUUGUUUCUCUUCUCUGUUAUUAUUGUGUGGUAUUCUUGUGUAGAUGGAAAAUGAAGACCAUACAUGGAUGUAUAAUAGAACUUAUCCUAACCGUGUGGGGUUGAGGUAGGAAUAUAAAACUGGGGUAGCUGGAUUUAUUGCUAAAGCAAUGACACUUGAUGAUUUUCUUAUUGAAGGGACAAUUAGGUGUCCUUGUUGGAAUUUCAAGUGUUGCAAGUUAUUAAGUCUAGAUAUUGUUACAUUACAUCUUUAUAGGAAUGGUUUUAUGGUGAAUUAUACUGUGUGGACAGCUCAUAGAGAGAAUAGUGAUGCUAAUGAUUUUGCUUUUCAGAAUUAUGUUGAAAGUCAAAUAAGAGAGACUAAUGUUGAACGUUCAUGAUAUGCUUUUGGGACAUACUCAGGGGCUGAAAAUGAACCAAAUGAUGUGCAGUAUAGUAUAGUACAGUUGCUGUAGCUAAAGAAAGUGAAAUUUGAUACUAUAGGUUAACCAUAUGUAGAUUUUUGGUGUCAAUUUAAUGCCUUAGAUUUAAAAACAGCAUUGCAAAAUACAAAUUUAAGGGAAGGGGAGGUAUCCAGUCAUCAAAACCAUUUCUUUGUCCAAAAACGACAAUAUUGCCUGUAGCACCAUCGUUGUCCUUCUAUUUUAGGUGUUCUUCUAUUUCAUAGAACUCCCGACCUAAUUAUUCAAAAUAUAUAUCUACCUACCUUCUAACAAACAUGGAUAUUCUUAAAUUUGGUUGUUCCUUCCUUUUCAGCUGGCUAGUAAAGAAAAUCAAUGGAAUCAAAAGGUAAUGUUAAUGUAUGACGUAAGAAAAGUAAUAAAGGAAAUGAUAAUAUUCGUACAGGUCAAUGUACACUACCACAACAACCACCACCUAUUACCACAAUUUUUCAACCAUCUACUACAAAUAUUCCUCCCCCUUCUAGAUGUACUAUUUCAGUACCAAAUGCAUUUUUCAUGCCUCCACCGUCUGAACAAUUGCACACCUCUUCAUCCCAAAAUAGUUUUCAUAGUAGCUCUUCAUCUGUGGAUUCGACAUCAUCCGUUCCAAGCCUUUCUCGAUUGAGAGUUGGAUGUCCUAACAUACCAACAUCGCCAUCCAUUGAUAGUGCUACAACGCUUAAUGUUACAACUGCUACUUCUCAGAAUUUGCAAUUUAAAGAGGUAUUAAAAUAUGACAAUGUUUGGAGGCUACGAAUCAUCCCUUAUCAUAAUAGGUAAGUAACACUUACGUUUUCCUUAAUUUUUAAUAGCUAAGAUAAUGGUUUAAUAUAAUCUUAUUCCAGGUUCAUUCCAGCAUAUACCGCCGGGCAUAUGGUUAUUGAAGCAAUUAAACUAUUUUUCAUAAAGCCGUGGAAUAGUUGGUUUGAGAUUCCAUGGAAAUUAGAAUUGUCAUGUGGAAACAAUUUAUUGUAUAAGAAGUUAUAUAAUCUAUGAAUCUCAUUGACUAAAGAUAGUUUUUUCAUUGUAUCCAUUAACUCAUUUUAUGACUUUAUGUUAAACUAUUUUGCAGACAAAGUGUACAUGGAGUGAUUGUCAUGAUAAUGAAGUAGACCAUGUUUUUUGGUUGAAAGCAGCUCUACGGAUCAAAGAACACUUGUAUGAGGAUCGGAGGAAAUUGAUAAAACCUGGUGGUUGAAUGAUAAAGUAUGGACUUGGUUCUUGAUAUUAUGGGACCCUCCUGAAUUUAAGGCAAAGAGGGAACGAGAAAAGGAAAAUCGAGCCUCUGAAAUAGGUGGCUCACUACACACCAGAGGUUCUAUGAGUUUUGCUUCCCACCAAAGAAGACUGUUACUAUUCUUGUCCAACCACUUUAUCCAUUUACAUGUGAUACCCCUUUAUCCAUUUACUGUGUUGAUAGAAGUUACAUAAAGUAGCAGUGAUGAGGGUGUUUCUGUUUUUGGGCUAACCAUUUCUGGCAUGGAAGUACCCAACCCAUAUCUUGGCAUGCCAACACUGUGUAUGCCCUGUAAUUGAGGCUUCUGUCUCCCUUACAAUCAGUGUUUGCAGCCAUGGGGUGGCUGGAUUCUAUUUUACCAUUUCAUGGAACACAUCUGAGCCCCAUUUUCAUGAAAAGAGUGAAAAAAGUAAUCUUUUUCGUGAUUUAUUAUAUAGCCCACACCAACACAUGACUUCUUCCUUUUUUAUUUUCUGCUACUUAUUACUAACUUGUAGAGAGUAGCUUAACUCUUUUUUCACUUUGAGUACCUAAAAAAUAUAGGGUAGUUCCUAUAGGACUAGUCAUAGGGCUAUAGUAUAUGAUUGAGCCUUAGUAUUAGUUCACUAGUUCUUGUUGAUGAAAUUUCUUCAAACAAGUGAGUUAAUUUGUGGAUUUAAAGUGCUUAUGUUAUUGGAUUAUGUAGUUUUCAGAAUUUAUGCAGCUUUCAGUACAAGUUUUAAUUUAGGAUAUGAAUGUUCUAAAAGCAAACAGGUACUCCAACCACUUUACCCAUUUAUACGUGAUACCCCUUUAUCCAUUUAUAUAAGAUUUUGGUGACAUAUACUGAUGUUGAGACGCAACACUAAUAUAUUGGUAUGUGAAAACAUACAUCCACAUAAUGCAUAAGCCACAUAAUUAGAGAACCUAUUGUUCUCUCCCUAUUUUAGUUCCAUUCUAUGGCUACAAACUCUAGUUUCACCGUUGAUAACCAAACAAUCCAACAG